GGAUGUGAGGUCAGUCUGCUGUGACAUUCCUCACCCCAUUGAUUGCCAGGUUUAAUUCAGCUGAUCUGGCUGGCUAGGUGGGUGUUCCCUUCCUCCCUCACUGUUUCAUGUGGGUCCCUCUCAAAGCUGCACACUUGGUCAAAAAGGACAGCCUUUCCAGAACAGAAAUACAACUUCCUGGGCUGGGC
rnacentral:snRNA from 1 species